rnacentral:rRNA from 1 species
UACAGAGGGUGCAAGCGUUAAUCGGAAUUACUGGGCGUAAAGCGCACGCAGGCGGCGAUCCAAGUCGGAUGUGAAAGCCCCGGGCUUAACCUGGGAAUCGCAUUCGAAACUAGUUCGCUAGAGUGUGGUAGAGGGAAGUGGAAUUCCAGGUGUAGCGGUGAAAUGCGUAGAUAUCUGGAGGAACAUCAGUGGCGAAGGCGACUUCCUGGACCAACACUGACGCUCAGGUGCGAAAGCGUGGGGAGCAAAC